CAGUCGCCGCGGGAAUACCAGCAGCCCAAGUGGUGGUCGCGAUUAUUGGGCCUAAAGCGCUCGUAGCCGGGCCGGUAAGUUCCCCGUGAAAUCGGGUCGCCCAACGAUUCGGCUCGCGGGGAAUACUGUCGGUCUUGGGGCCGGGAGACGCCGAGGGUACUCCGGGGGUAGCGGUGAAAUGCUGUAAUCCUCGGGGGACUACCAGUGGCGAAGGCGCUCGGCGAUAACGGGCCUGACGGUGAGGGGCGAAAGCUGGGGGCGCGAACGGGAUUAGAUACCCCCGUAGUCCCUGUCUCUUAUU
rnacentral:rRNA from 1 species